GCUGCCAUUUUAGAGAAACUUUAGUUAGGUUUUAUUUCCCUUCUCGUUCGUUUCUGAAGUCGCAAGCAGCCCGCAGCCGCCCCGGCCUCACUCCUCCUGUCUGCGCCAAUCCGCUGUUGGUCACCGCCCAUCUCCCGCCUGCAGAGACCACCUGCUAUCUUCCAUCGCUGGCAGAAGCCGGCCAUAGUGCUCGGGUAGAGGAGCGAAGCACCCGCUUACACUGAGAAGGAUCUGAUGGGCUCGAACAAGACGAUGAGCAAAGGUGGUGGCGUGAUUGCUUCUCCUUGCGCACAACUCCGGGCCACCUACCAUGACUGCUUUAAUCGGUGGUAUUCGGAGAAGUUUUCAAAGGGUCAAUGGGACAAAGAGGAGUGCAUCGCCGAGUGGGACAAAUAUAGAGCUUGUCUCGAGCAAUAUUUGGAUGACAAACACCUGAGGCAUGCUCUCUUGGAAGCGGAUUCCUCUCCUUACUUUGUUAAAGAUGGUGCAGGAUCGUCUAAUAGUGUGAACACUUGAGCACAUUGAUUACAUUGUGUUCAAAAGGAAUAACUGGCUAAAUCUGAGUGACUUCUACGGAGAUAACCAAAAUAAUAAUGGAAUCUUCAAGACAGUGCGAUUAUGAUCUCCCGAGUUCUCUUAAUCUUCACAAGUAUUAUAUGACUACUUACUGGAAUGAUUCUCUUGUGAUCUAGUGGUCGCCGCAGCGGUAAAUAACCGACAAGCUUUGCUAAACACCAGACAGACCCCAAAGUGGCUCCUUUCAUUGCUAAGAUAGAGAAAAUUAAAAUUUAGAUCGUAAAAUUAUUGAUCAUAUAUCUUUUUUAAUUCUUUAAUUAUAAAUAAAUAAUAUAUGACAUGAGGUGCAAUAUUCUCAAGUUUUUAAAUUUUCAUUUGGUGUUGAAUAUUUUUCAUUUCAAAUUUAUGGAUUCAUGCUAGUUGAUAAA